GGCAACAGAGUGGGUCUAGCUUCUAUGC
rnacentral:piRNA from 1 species